GGUAGCAUGCCAGAGUGGUUAAUGGGUUAGACUCGAAUUGGAUUCAGAAAUCUAAUGGCUUCGGCCGCACAGGUUCGAAUCCUGUUGCUAUCG
rfam:Coniochaeta ligniaria NRRL 30616 unplaced genomic scaffold CONLIGscaffold_5, whole genome shotgun sequence.